rnacentral:rRNA from 1 species
AGCGAACGCUGGCGGCAGGCUUAACACAUGCAAGUCGAGCGGACCUUUCGGGGUCAGCGGCGGACGGGUGAGUAACGCGUGGGAACGUGCCUUCCGGUUCGGAAUAACCCUGGGAAACUAGGGCUAAUACCGGAUACGCCCUUAUGGGGAAAGGUUUACUGCCGGAAGAUCGGCCCGCGUCUGAUUAGCUAGUUGGUGGGGUAACGGCCUACCAAGGCGACGAUCAGUAGCUGGUCUGAGAGGAUGAUCAGCCACACUGGGACUGAGACACGGCCCAGACUCCUACGGGAGGGAGCAGUGGGGAAUAUUGGACAAUGGGCGCAAGCCUGAUCCAGCCAUGCCGCGUGAGUGAUGAAGGGCUUAGGGUUGUAAAGCUCUUUUAUCCGGGACGAUAAUGACGGUACCGGAGGAAUAAGCCCCGGCUAACUUCGUG